rnacentral:rRNA from 1 species
GACGAACGCUGGCGGCGUGCUUAACACAUGCAAGUCGAACGGAAAGGCCCUGCUUUUGUGGGGUGCUCGAGUGGCGAACGGGUGAGUAACACGUGAGUAACCUGCCCUUGACUUUGGGAUAACUUCAGGAAACUGGGGCUAAUACCGGAUCGGCGCUCCUGCUGCAUGGUGGGGGUUGGAAAGUUUCGGCGGUUGGGGAUGGACUCGCGGCUUAUCAGCUUGUUGGUGGGGUAGUGGCUUACCAAGGCUUUGACGGGUAGCCGGCCUGGGAGGGUGACCGGCCACAUUGGGACUGAGAUACGGCCCAGACUCCUACGGGAGGCAGCAGUGGGGAAUAUUGCACAAUGGGCGGAAGCCUGAUGCAGCAACGCCGCGUGCGGGAUGACGGCCUUCGGGUUGUAAACCGCUUUCGCCUGUGACGAAGCGUGAGUGACGGUAAUGGGUAAAGAAGCACCGGCUAACUACGUG